GGCUGUUCGUUGUGCACAGAGUGAACUAUUCUUUCACCUUCUACUAAAGAAUACCGUGUGCACACCGCACGCAGCAGCAUAAGCCACUUUUUGGAAGGCUCUUGCCUCUUCUAGCCC